rnacentral:rRNA from 1 species
UGAUCAGCCAUACCGCGUGGGUGAAGAAGGCCUUCGGGUUGUAAAGCCCUUUUGUUGGGAAAGAAAUCCAGCUGGUUAAUACCCGGUUGGGAUGACGGUACCCAAAGAAUAAGCACCGGCUAACUUCGUGCCAGCAGCCGCGGUAAUACGAAGGGUGCAAGCGUUACUCGGAAUUACUGGGCGUAAAGCGUGCGUAGGUGGUCGUUUAAGUCCGUUGUGAAAGCCCUGGGCUCAACCUGGGAACUGCAGUGGAUACUGGGCGACUAGAAUGUGGUAGAGGGUAGCGGAAUUCCUGGUGUAGCAGUGAAAUGCGUAGAGAUCAGGAGGAACAUCCAUGGCGAAGGCAGCUACCUGGACCAACAUUGACACUGAGGCACGAAAGCGUGGGGAGCAAACAGGAUUAGAUACCC